ensembl:miRNA MIR181A2 microRNA 181a-2
GACUCCAAGGAACAUUCAACGCUGUCGGUGAGUUUGGGAUUUGAAAAAACCACCGACCGUUGACUGUACCUUGGG